CGAGUCCAGAUCGGUGAACUCUCUUGAGCUCGAGCCAGUCUCGAAUCUCGGGAAGAAACAUUCGAAUUUAUGGUACUUGCUGCUGGCACUGAUAUCGGAGCUCCUUCUCUCGCUGUGUUACAAUGGCUGUCAUUGACUUGGAAGGACGGUUUUGUGCGAACGAAGGGAUCGAAUAUGUGAGGACAGCGUUCGGUGCGCUUUUGCUGUUCGUUGGCUCAGCAGCCUGGCUACAUUUGUAGGCUGCAGCCUGCAUCGUAUAAAUCAAAAUUCAGAACCCUAUAUACGGCAUACCGCACUUGAGGUAGGAGGCUCGAGGGCCUCGAGGCGGACCUCGUGACGUAUUAUUACGAAGUGUUCCUUAGCCUUCGUGGAUUCGUGGAUGCGGAAUUGGUUCAUGGUGGAGUUAAAGAUGGUUGAUAGAUUGACAGCGGCUGGGUCAUAGACGCUUCGGAGGCUGCAAAGUUCUUAUCCGUAUUGAAUGAGUGAACACAACGCGGUUUGGCUAGUGACAACCAAAAGUUAUCCCACCAGAGGUAUGCCGUCAUCUACAGCGAACCCAGUUGGGCGUUAUUGGUUCAACUGGAAUGGGUGUAGUGGAGAAUGGAGACUCGGUUUCCUCGUUGACGACGCCGACUAUCAAGCGUUAUUUGGUUUGGUUGGGCAUAUUUUACUGUGAGAUUGGGAAAGCAGCGACCGGGUGGAAGUAUGUUUGACUUGGAGUAUGUGUCUGUGUGAGCAUGCUGUGGCGAUCAAUCAACUUGUGGAGACAUACAUCAUGACGAUGUCAUAUUUGGCUUAUUAUUACCGGGCAACAACUCAAAGGCGGCCUGUGAAAUAGUAGCUUGAAGGGCAUUGUGGUAAUCCUUAUCCCCAUGCGUUGCCGAUU